rnacentral:rRNA from 1 species
GAAUACUGCAGAGCUAGGGAGUGGGAGAGGUAGACGGAACUCGGGAGGAAGUGGUAAAAUGCUUUGAUCUCUCGAUGACCACCUGUGGCGAAGGCGGUCUACCAGAACACGUCCGACGGUGAGGGAUGAAAGCUGGGGGAGCAAACCGGAUUAGAUACCCGGGUAGUCNCAGCUGUAAACUAUGCAAACUCAGUGAUGCACUGGCUUGUGGCCAGUGCAGUGUUGCAGGGAAGCCGUUAAGUUUGCCGCCUGGGAAGUACGUACGCAAGUAUGAAACUUAAAGGAAUUGGCGGGGGAGCACCACAAGGGGUGAAGCCUGCGGUUCAAUUGGAGUCAACGCCAGAAAUCUUACCCGGAGAGACAGCAGAAUGAAGGUCAAGCUGAAGACUUUACCAGACAAGCUGAGAGGUGGUGCAUGGCCGUCGCCAGCUCGUGCCGUGAGAUGUCCUGUUAAGUCAGGUAACGAGCGAGAUCCCUGCCUCUAGUUGCCACCAUUACUCUCAGGAGUAGUGGGGCGAAUUAGCGGGACCGCCGCAGUUAAUGCGGAGGAAGGAAGGGGCCACGGCAGGUCAGUAUGCCCCGAAACUCUGGGGCCACACGCGGGCUGCAAUGGUAACGACAAUGUGUUCCGAAUCCGAAAGGAAGAGGUAAUCCUCAAACGUUACCACAGUUAUGACUGAGGGCUGCAACUCGCCCUCACGAAUAUGGAAUCCCUAGUAACUGCGUGUCAUUAUCGCGCGGUGAAUACGUCCCUGCUCCUUGCACACACCGCCCGU